rnacentral:rRNA from 1 species
UACAGAGGUCCCGAGCGUUGUUCGGAUUCACUGGGCGUAAAGGGUGCGUAGGUGGCUUGGUAAGUUUGAUGUGAAGGCUCAGGGCUCAACCCUGGAAUGCCGGUGGAUACUGUCGAGCUCGAGUCCGGAAGAGGCGAGUGGAAUUCCUGGUGUAGCGGUGAAAUGCGUUGAUAUCGAUAGGAACUCCGGUGGCGAAGGCGGCAUACUGGACCACAUCUGACGCUGAGGCGCGAAAGCCAGGGGAGCAAACGGG